GUCGUAACAAGGUUUCCGUAGGUGAACCUGCGGAAGG
rnacentral:rRNA from 2 species